rnacentral:rRNA from 1 species
GACGAACGCUGGCGGCGUGCUUAACACAUGCAAGUCGUACGGUAAGGCCCUUUCGGGGGUCCACGAGUGGCGAACGGGUGAGUAACACGUGAGUAACCUGCCCACAACUUUGGGAUAACGCUAGGAAACUGGUGCUAAUACUGGAUAUGUGCUCCUGCUGCAUGGUGGGGGUUGGAAAGCUCCGGCGGUUGUGGAUGGACUCGCGGCCUAUCAGCUUGUUGGUGGGGUAGUGGCCUACCAAGGCGGCGACGGGUAGCCGGCCUGAGAGGGUGACCGGCCACAUUGGGACUGAGAUACGGCCCAGACUCCUACGGGAGGCAGCAGUGGGAAAUAUUGCACAAUGGGCGCAAGCCUGAUGCAGCAACGCCGCGUGCGGGAUGACGGCCUUCGGGUUGUAAACCGCUUUCAGCAGGGACGAAGCUUUUUGUGACGGUACCUGCAGAAGAAGCACCGGCUAACUACGUG